rnacentral:sRNA from 1 species
UUUAAAAAAUACGAAAUGUUGAUGCACCC